AACAGAUGUCAGAUCGUUCUGCUGUUUUACAGUCCAAAAAUGUGAUUAAAACCUCAGAAAUGGAGCUUCCCACGACUGUAAAAAGUUUGGUUGAAGAUUUCUGCCAAAUGCCAAAGCUCUAAAACAAGUGUCUCUCGAUUCCACAUCCAUAAUGUUCUUGCAGUUCGCGAAUGUAUGUGUUUCCCAAAUCCGUUCCAUCCUCACUGUGGCGUCAAGAUUUUUCUUAGCUUUUUUCAUUCCGGUAACGUGGCGCGUAACAAAAGUACCUCAGUACUCAAACUACGAGGAACGUUCAGCAAGUAAUGCAACACUUUUUUUCCUGAAACCAUGGACCGCAAUGUGAUGCUAAAGUGCACUUGAGAUAAUACGAAAUAAUCGUAAGAAAGAAAAGAAAUAGCUCGCAAAAUCAUCAUACACACGGACACAGCUGAAAAAGUCUUCCAGACCAUAUAAUACUGGUUUCGUACGUGUAUACGUAUCGCAGAAUGGUUAGCUCAAACAGAGCUUCCAGCCAUCUGGCGACUAUCUAGGGAAACGGGGCAAAUAGUUCAUCACGCAGCCGCUGUUGAGUGCUGCAUGUAUGAGCGUUUUACACCUGAUGUGAAAAGAAGCUGGAAAUUAAACCAUAAGCGAGACAUCGCUUUAUCAACUUCUCAGUGUAGCAGUAAUCUUAAUUUUAAUUGUUUUUCGGGUAACUGAUUUUAUUACUGACGCCAAUCAAGCUGUCAGUAACAGGACGUUCUCACUUUGUGUUUUAUCACAUCGAAGUAAUAUUAACCAGAGUGCGCGGUUGACAUUAUUUUCCAGCACACGAUUAAGACCACCAAAAGCAGCAACAUUAAUACAAUUUUUGACAGCAUUGCUGGUUUGCCAGUAAUGCUCAUAUAAUAAUGAGAAUGGUAUAUUUGGAAGUGGAUACUUGCACUGCCAUGCACUAGUGAUGGGCUGAACUGCGAUUUUCCGAUUAGAGUGAAGUGCGAAUGCUAAUUUUCAGUAUCUGAUAUUCUUAAUCGUGAUUUGUCGCAGUUAAGGAACCAAGGCAGCACCCCCUAUAGAGGAUCUAGGUCGUGUAUCCCUCCGCAUUCUACCACUGCGAUUUUCUGGGAUUUCUGUGACUUACCACCGUAUGAAAAAGGUACAUCUGUCCACACAGAAAAUUGCAUCUCAACAAAACUGUCAUUAGUGAGUAUGUUUUACGUUUGUUUUUCCGUUGGCUUUAAUUUUGUAUUAAAGAAACAACUGUGAAAAUAUUAAUACUGUAAUUAAUACGUAAGUAGCCACACAGUACCGUAAUAGUUCGUGUUUAGAAAAUGAAUUCUGACAUAUUGUUAUGUUCACAGGUACCCGAACUACAUUUCAGUCACUCACUGUCAACAGAUCUGGAGAAAUUGCCACCCUGUAGACAGUCUUCGUCAAACAAGAGACGCAGUUCUGACUCUGACUCUGAUUACUGGUUACUGUACGUAUCUCUCCAUAUCAAGGCUGUUGAGAGAGACUGAUGAAGAUUCAAGACAGCUCUUAGAGGAUUUGCAGCUUAAAAGUGCCAUAAUUAUGAAAUAAGUGUGCAGA